AUGAAGACAAGUGUGAAGUCUCUGCUUCAGGGAUCCAUUUUUUGGCAUUCUGGCAAAGAGCUCUGUAAUGGCUUUGUCUUCAGCAAGCACACAGAAGCCUUGGCGGUCUCUGCAGCACUAAUCUAUGAGCCGAGUCUCAGCUACAGGAAGACAGAAGUUGAAACUAGAGAAGAAGAAUUUUUGCUCUCGAUCCUAGGCUGUCCCCAAUAAGCCCACUUAUAACUGGAUCCCACUUGUCAGGUCUGGGCAGUCAGGAAACAAACAAGUGGCCUCCAACUACACCCCCUACCAUUGAGCUUCAUAAAAAUCUUGUCUCCCUCACCACCUAUACUUACCACUCAAUCCUCACCUUAGGGGGAGACACCCCAUGUACACAAAUAAAUAAAGCAUGCUUUGAUUAAUUUGGUCAUGAAGAUUUGGGUCAGUGAUCUUUCUCCUCCAAUCUCUGGGAUUAACUUGUACUGUUUAUAAGGUAAUUAAAAAUGC